rnacentral:lncRNA from 13 species
AUGGUUUUAAAAAGAAGAAUUUUCCUGCCCAAGCUAUCUUCUCUUGUCUGCCACCAUGUGAGACGUGCCUUCACCUUCCACCAUGAUUGUGAGGCCUCCCUAGCCAUGUGGAACUGCUUUGAUUUCAGAACCACGGAUGAUGUAUUUUCUCCACGUUGUCUCUUCUGUUCCUGCAAACCCCAGAGAACAUGCUGUAUGAGUAUAAUGGAAAUCAUUUCACUUUCUUUGACUUAUGGUUAGUGAAGAGGAUUUCAGGCUGGCAUCAAGUUACAGGUCAUCCUCUUAUCCUUGUAUUCUGCGUGUAUAUUACUGGCUACAAGCCAACCAGCAGUGGAAACCUCCCGGAGUUCUCGAAGACCUGGCCUGUGGAGUUAAGCCGGGCUUGGUGGAUGCAGCCCAGGUAAGUGAGAUGUGAGAGCAAUAAAGUGAUGUAUGUAGAGAAAGAAACA